rnacentral:lncRNA from 1 species
UGGAUUAUAAUCAUAUGAAGAGAAGUAUUACAUUGAUAGAGUAUAUAAUAAUAGAUAUUAUAAACCAUUAUGAACAUUAAAAUAAGCUUUAUAAAGAUAUGGAUGGCAAUGAUAAACAUAAUCUCAGAUUUAAUUUGCUCAGUGAAAAUAAAGAUGUUUCUUAACGAUGGAUUCAAAUUCUUACUUGCACCUCCAACCAAAAUUAUUUUGCUCAUAAAUAAUCAACAAACUACAUCAUCAGAUUUAAUCUUCUUAUUGCUAGAUGCAUCAUAAUCGUUCCAGUUUCUAAUCAAUCUUCUUGUCAUAGUCAUUCCUGCACUUGCACUUACAACAGACGAAACACGUGUUCUUGGUGAUCAUACAAGCCUUGUAAUAAAAAAAUAGUAAUCAAACACGAGAAUUAACAAGAUUCACAAGUGAAAACAAAUACAAAUUUUUUUUGAGCAUAUACAUGACUUUUUCCUAUGUCAUUUCUUCUUGUAAUCAGAAGCAAAAUACCAAGUUUAGACAAACCCUAAAAACUCCAAACACUUGAACAAACAUUAUAUUAUUUUUCCAACUAUCACAGAUAAUCAUAAUCAACAAAGCUUUAAUAAUUAUAUGAUCACAGGACAUCAUUAUUUUAAUCCUCAAUGCUCAAAAAAUUAAGAAUCACAAUCAAAUUUUGGUUAUUACCCUAAGUUGAUUGCUUAGAAUUACUAGUAAUAACUUUAAAAGCAAAUCCAAACAGCCCUAAAUUGAUAAGUUUAGGGAAAAACAUGAGAGCAACAUUUUUUAGAAAAAAUCUAAAAACAUGUAUGCCAAUUUAGAAUUUUGGUUGAAAGCAAAUUUGAUGUACAAAAACCACAUAUAUACAAUAAAUAAAUGCCAUAACUUUACUUAUAAUAGAAAAACAUGUAUAGAAGAAGAAAACUACUUACAAAGAGGCCGAUGAGGAGUGGUGGUCUCAAAGAAACGCAUCUAAUUCCAAAUGUAGAAACUGCAAAAAAAAAAAUCAUCAAAAUUAAUGAUAUAGGACAGAAAUCAAGAGUUUGAAGGAUAGAAAAUAUAAGGUACUUGCAAUGAUAAGCCUUCCACCAGUAGAUGACAAGUAGAUGACAACUGCAACUCAUAUUCUGAUCUAUUACCAAAAGGGCAUUUACGUCUUUUUGCAUAGUAAUGAAGUAAUAUAAAGUAAUGAGUACUGACCUUGACUUGCUUAAUGAAAGAAACAGCAUUCAACAUUCCACUUCUUGAUAAUCAGACCAAAUUAAAGCGUUAUAAGAAGAGAUUUAGGGAUUUAAAACAUAAUAGGAAGAUAUAAAUCAUAAUUAGAAGAGAUAUAUCUCUGCAUCUACAGUAUUGACACUUCCCUUAUGCAUGAUUUAGAUCUUUAGCAAGCUCAUAUGUAAUCAAUACCAAUCGAAUGUAGUGAUUGCAUGUAAUCAAACCUGAAAACAAAAAGAAAUUCCUCAACAUUUUUAUAUCCCCUUCUUAAUUACAAUUGAGAACAAAUUUGUGGAAAGACUUAUCAAAAACAUCAUAGAAGAUCAACUCCUAACUUAUCAACAAGAGUGUCACCUAAUCAGCAAUCUCAAAUAAAACAUGUUUAGGGCUUACCUUUACACUCGAUUAUAGGCUUCUAAGCUCUUGUACUGUUGAGAUGAAGACCCAAAAAAAACCGAGAAAACACCAAUGGGGAUAUGGGGCUAUUUCGUGAGAAACUCAUUGAAAAAUGUUCUGAUAGGAGAAGGAAGGAGCCUAAUGGCAUCGAUCCUAGAAUUCUUAAUUCCAUCUCAACUCGAUUCGUGAUCUGACUUGGCACAUUAUCCAGAUCGACGGUUUUAUAUUGUUUUCUCCACAAAAUCGUCAGUACCUUGAUUAUGAAGAGAAGUUGUUCAUACUAUUUUCAACCAGCCAAUAGAGGAUGAACAAGGGUUAGGGGAAACACGAUCGACGAUAUGGGCUAAGGCGCGAUGUGGAGGAGCCAGGGUGGAGGGACGGAUAGGUAACGAUGACCCCAUGAGAGAAAAACGAAAUAACGAACCCUAGUGGUUUAGAUUAUGUUGGGGGUAAUGGGAAUUUGGAAACCUGAGCGGGAUGUGAGUUGAUUUUCAAUAUUCAGGAUUGACAUCUUCGAUUGUCGAUAGCAGACGUUUAGAUCGAUGGUGCAAUGGAGAACGCGAACAUUGAAGAUAAUAGAUAUUAGGUUUAAAGAGGAGGGAAUUACUAAAUCUAAAAAAUUUCACGUAGAGGGAAUCUGAAACUUUU